CUGGAGAAAAAGAAUAAGAAAGUGUUGGUCUAUCAGCAAUGAAAUAAAUCCAUGACUCUUGUGAUUGGUAAUCCAUCGCCAAUGUGGGAUGAGACAGGGGGAAUUUGUUUGGUGUAAAUAGUGUGGCAUCCAUUGACUGCUUGCAAUCUCAUCUGCGCGGGCCAUCAGUGUGAUAUAGACUUUAUUACUUGAAGAUGUUUAAUUCAAAACUAAAAAACUUAUUAUGGAAUACAGUGGGUCCUUAACUCAACCUUUUAAAAGGCUCUGUACAUUUAGUCACUCUGCAGGAAGAAAUUUUGCCUACAAAUCUCUACAUAAUGCUGCUCCAAACUACCUAUCCUUCCUAAUGCACAUGCAUGUCCCGUCUAAG